rnacentral:rRNA from 1 species
UACGUAGGUGGCGAGCGUUGUCCGGAUUUACUGGGCGUAAAGAGCGCGCAGGCGGUCGUUCAAGUCGCGUGUGAAAGCCCCCGGCUCAACUGGGGAGGGUCACGCGAUACUGAUCGACUCGAAGGCAGGAGAGGGUAGUGGAAUUCCCGGUGUAGUGGUGAAAUGCGUAGAUAUCGGGAGGAACACCAGUGGCGAAGGCGACUACCUGGGACGGUACUGACGCUGAGACGCGAAAGCGUGGGGAGCGAACAGG